GCCCGGGUGGUGGAAUUGGUAGACACAAGGGACUUAAAAUCCCUCGGCUUAACGGCCGUCCCGGUUCAAGUCCGGGUCCGGGUACCA
rnacentral:tRNA from 2 species